UUCUUUAUAUCCUCAUAGAUAUCUCAGCACUAUGGAAUGUAAGGAAGUGUGUGGUUUUGGCAAGUGCUUCUUCAAGGCCGAUGGCUCCACCCAGAGAAUAUGCUGUUGACUUCUUCGUUCCUUGGCUACAUUUUCUUACCUGCAGGUGCCCUCUUCCCCAGAAAUCUACCUCUACAGACUUCUCCCACAAUACUGGGUUUCAGGUCAACUAUGCUCCCCAUCCUAGCCCCUUUAUACCAACAUCCUUCACAUCUACUCUCAGGGAAUCAGCUCCCGGGGUCCUAGUUCCUUCCUCUGCUCAUAUGGCUCCUGCAAUGGAUGUUUCUACCAAGCAAGCUCAGGGAUAGUUCAUGGUGCCAGGUGUGUGACUUGUGUUAUAAACAGAGAGUAUACAACUACUGGGCUCUGAAGAACACCACCCUGGUAGAAGGCUCCACAUCUCCUGGCCCUGCUGCUGUUCUUUCUACUUCACAACCCCAUGUCAGUGUGUUGCUUCUGGGUCACACUGUCUGAAGAAAGAUGGGGGUCCUAAAAUAGUGCUGCAAUCAUUCAGUGGCCUAAGUUCCUUUGUUCUCAACCCAGUGCCCUGUGUUCCCAGUUCUGACUCUAGUGUCUAAGCUCAUGUCAUGAAGGAGGUAGACUCUAGAGGGAAACCGAGAAGAGGCGCUGUAGUGAUAUGCCAGAUGCAGGCUAAGACUCCAUUAAACAUGCAGCCUGAGCUCUUACCCAAAACAAAAUGAAGCACCAUGGCAUUUGAAGACUGACACCAUGCCCAGAAGCCCAGAAUGGCAAAAAAGGAAGAUAAAGGAUAUGUGUAUUUCCUGGACCCUCAAAAACAUCAGCAUACCGAACACACUGGGCAGUGUUCAUACUCCCAAGUGAGAUGCAGCCACACUGGGGACCACUACAUCCCUCUUUCAGGAACCAGGUAGUUCCCUAGCUACCAUCAUGAGCAUGCCACCCUAUUCUUCUGGGGAUAGGUGAGAGUGUGGAACAGGGGUGGUGGAUGGGGGGAGAUUAAUAGAGAAGGGCCAGUUAGAGGACUGAGCAUAGGAUCGUACCACUGUGGAUCAGUUCCCAGGAAGUGGGUAAUUUGGAAAAAUUGUUGUCACACUUAGGGUAUUCCUGGUGUCUAGGGUGUGGAGACCAGGGGUGCAACGAAGCAUGUAUAGUGUACAGACCAUCUCCAUAGCAAAGAAGUACCCAGGUCAAAAUGUCAAUGUGUGAAGAUCGAGAAAACCUGUAUUUAUUAGUAUGGUGUCCGACACUGGCAUUUUCCAGGAAAAAAAAUCUCUGUCCUUUCUGUUUUAGACUUCAGUCUUUUUUAUAUAAAAUAUCUGAUGCUUCAAACUGAACUUCUUUCCAUUGACAGCCUAUCUUUUUUUCUAACUAGCCCAUGGAUUUUUUUUUUCUACCCUGGUGUUUGGUUUCAUGUCGUUCUGAAAUCAGAGAUAUGUUAUAUAGAUGGCUGUGUUGCUGAGGCUGGAUCAAAAGACAUGGGCAAACACAAGGAAAGAGUUGGGGGAGCUGUGUUCAGAAUUCUUUUUCAGAAAUAAUCUCAGACAGCCAGGCUGUCUCUGCCCCUGCAGUUGCCUGGCUUCUUGUUCCCUAACAUAAGCUGUGGACAAGAUAGACAUGGGAGGAGAUAGAGGGCAGGAGUCACAAGACGCCUAUCAUUAGAAAAAGGACAGUGGAGAAGGUAAGAUUGUGACAGCCAAGCCAAGAAGAUUCACACCAAGGAGGUGUGGCCCAGGACACAGAGGAACUUUAGUACUAUCCUAGAGUCACACUGUAUUUUGUAAUGCUAAUUUCUCUCAUCACAACAUUCAUACAUGAUAGGUGUGCCUUUAUCCAGUUGCCUUUUCUGCAGUGCCCUGUUGGGUGCUUUAAAGUAUGAGGUACCUUGAUGAUUCGAGACAGGCCUCUCUAACUAGAGUCCAUCUGGAAGAAGCCAGGCACCUGGCUACCUCACUUCUAAACGUGUCCAGUGGAUUUUAACACAUUCACAGAUAAGUAUAAAUUCUUGUUGAUGAGUGAUGGGGCACACUCUCUAGGCAAGAUGGAGUUAAAAGUGAAGUUUUGGCCUCAGAGGCAGGCAUAAUUGCCCCUCAGACUCUCCUACAAGCCUUGCUAGUCUCCUCUGUGUACCCUAGGAACUUAGAACACCCUUCAUUACUAUCAAAAUUCACAAGAGGCAAACUAGGCAUGUUUUCCACAGUAUAGACAAACAUGCUGACCUGUCAAGAUGCUACUUAACACCUCAAUACCAAACAUCAUUAUAUGAUAUUUCUCAGUAUCAAAUUCUCAAUAUCAAAUAAAUAAAUAAAUAAAUAAAUAAAUAAAUAAAUAAAUAAAAUCAAGAAUGCAUCAGUGGAUUUUGAACCCAGAAAAUUUCAGGAUGGUUUUGUUUGUUUUAUUUUGUUUUGUUUUUAGAGACAGACUUUCUCUGUGUAGUGUUGGCUGUCCUGGAACUCACUCUGUAGAACAGGCUGGCCUCAAACUCAAAGAUCCAUCUGCUUCUGCUUCCCAAGUGCUGGAAUUUUAGGUGUGUGCCACCACUGCCUGGCCAUACUUUCUUCUCAAUGACUUCUAUUUAUCAAGAAGAAGAAAACAUGUUAGCUAGUAACUAGCCCCAAAGGAGAAAGUUGGUUUUCUGCAAGCACUCAACUAUCUUUUCGGCCUACAUCUUUCCUCUCCUUAUGCCAAUACCUUAUGGAGAUAGCAAGCCAUAUUUUCGGGGAGCCUUUCCUUCUUACCUACACUUGAUCUCACUUUACUACUAACAAGCCGAAAGCAGAGGAUACCCCUUCUAUUCAAUGGUUCUCAAACUUUAGAUACCUCAGAAUCACUGGGAAAGCAGGGUACAUGAGUUUGGGGACCCCACUCCUGGGUAUGUCAGGGUGGUAAAUGUUACUUUUCGCUUAAAAGGUCAACUUGUAAGUUCUUACAUACUGGAAUCCAGACUUCUUCAUGAUCUACAAGAACCAAAAAUGCCUCUGUUUCCCUCGAUAGACUCUACUAAAGUCAGUUCCACCCAUUCUUUCAAACCAAAGGACUGUGAUAGCUAUUACUGGGAGAAGGAAUGAAUAUAAUAUAUUUAAAUAAUAAAAAAACUGUCAAACAAUGUAAAUUAGUGAAUUGUAGUUACCAUAUUCAUAUGAAUGAGCCUUACANNNNNNNNNNNNNNNNNNNNNNNNNNNNNNNNNNNNNNNNNNNNNNNNNNNNNNNNNNNNNNNNNNNNNNNNNNNNNNNNNNNNNNNNNNNNNNNNGAGGGUUAUAUAAUGUACAUUUACAUAUGCAUACAAAUAUACUUGACAAUGUUAAGGUUAUUUUAGAAUAUAAAAGAAAAGAGUGUCUAUUUUUUCCAUAUUCUAUAACUGUAUCCCAUUUUCGUGCCUAAUGUUCCAAUUUGAAAAAAAAUAAGAGCUAAAUAAAAUAAAUAAAUAAAAACUAGAAAGCAUACGACUUUGUGAGAUUUCUUUCAAGCUCUGUGAGAGGUUAGUCAGGAUAAUGUUCUCUUUGGGGUUGAUUCAUGCUAAUGUGGUUCUCUCUGUUACAGGCUUGGACAAGUGGUGCUCAAACUCCAAGGACUUCACAAGCUUCAGGCUGCAGUCACCUCCAAAGGGAGUGGCCCCCUGCUCUGGCUGGUCAAACGGAACCAAGUCCGUCUUCCUGAGAGGUUUGGUCCCCUUCAACCAGCUACAGCAGGGCUGGCAAAGCUCAAUAUUUGGAGAAAGAGAAGAGAAGAGAAAAUAGCUGCUACAGCCUUGCUUAUGAAAAGUAAUGCCGGUUUUGCCAUCAUAGCCUUAUGUUCCCAAGAAGGAAGAAGAAAGGAGAAAGCCCAAGUUCACAGGUCACAUGCUCAACACACAGAAUCCUCUGCCACACACACACCUUCUAAAUCACCCACAUUUAGAGCCAUGCACACAUCUUCCAUGCACACCCACUAAUGAUGCUAAGGAUGGAACUUGAGCCAACCUUAGACCAGUCAGUGGCAGAAUAUGAUACAUAGGAGACAGGUCUUCUGCUCACAAGGACACAGAAGCAUAAGUAAGGCCACUGACCAUGGAAACACAACACAGUACAAUGGAAAUGCAGUCGAGAACAUGCUUAAUCCAAGAUAUAAUUCAUAUAUAUAUAUAUAUAUGUGUGUGUGUGUGUGUGUGUGUGUGUAUGGAUGGAUGCUUGCAUAUAUAUAUAUACAUAUAUAUAUAUACAUAUAUAAGUAUCUAUGAAUAUGGAUGUAUAUGAGUAUAUAUAGUUGACUGAGUUCGCCGUGACAUUCUACAUCAUUUUCCAUGAAGCUGAGAACUUUAUGUACACUGAGACUAAAGUACACAGAAAGAGGUUGCCUAGCUCCCAGUGGCUGAUACCAGUAAUUAAGGUAAAACCUUGGCUUCCUGUUUGAAUCCUACCCAUCUUGUCGAUUAGCUAUGAUGUGCGCUCAGUCAAAUAGCCUCAGUUACCUCCGUAAAAACAUUAGUUGCUUCUUCACCAGUAAAUGGAAAGAGUGACCUGGAUCACACUAUUGUUCUAAGAUUUUGAGAGGACAAUGUCUGUAAAUAACCAGCCAUAAUCACUCAGAGAAUGUGUGUUUUGCUGUUAUGACAAUGAUGGUGUCAUGCCCAGAGGCAUGGCUCCCAGAGAAGGAAAAACAAAUUUUAAAAGAUAAUAUUUCCAAAAUAAAUUUUACAUUAAUUUUGGUAUACUUAUAUUCCCACUAUUGAUUCUACUAGCAUGCAGCAUACAUUCAUCCUAGUGUGUACUGUUCGUAUGUAAUGCUUUUUGCUAAAAAUUGCUUCACGUGUGAGAUUCUACUGCCUGGGAAGAGGUUUCUGACAGCUGUUGAGCUUGCUCUAUAGCACAGAGCCUCCUGGGUGUGUGAGGCUAUGAAGCAUGUUUUCUAAAGGCAGAGAAUGAACACGGCUGCAGCUGGCUGCCUGCCCCUCCACUCUGAACCUGUUUCCUCAUGGAAAGAAUGGAAACAUCAAUAAUUAUCUAUAAUAAAAAGAAUUUGUGGGAGUGAAAAAAUAUACAAGGGUCUAAAACUAGGACUGGGUGCACAAUGUGGUUUUUCUCUUUGACAAUGCUUUUAAAACCAAAUUGGUAUUCAUUAAACUUUUCUCUAAUAA
ensembl:lincRNA Gm28653 predicted gene 28653